AGGAGAUGGAUAAGAGAAAUGGAAAAUGGCAAAAUUAAAGUGCAUUAAAUGAAGUAACAUGUACCAAUCCCCAUAUGUUGACCAAUGGCAUUGAAAGUCAAGGUCAAACAAUCAAAAACAGAAGUGAGAUGAAGAUUGGAAGUCAAGAAAUGAACAAAAUAUUUUUUGGCAUUUUUUAAUAUUUAAAAUUAAAGUUGAAUUGAAAAUAAAAGAAAGGUCAAACUUCAAAAUCAC
rnacentral:lncRNA from 1 species